UUUUGGGUAUUCUGGGUCCCUUGCAGUUCUAUAGGAAUUUUAGGAUCAGUUUGUUCACUUCCAAAGAAAAAAAAACACCUGGGACUUGAAAAGGAUUAUGUUGAGGCUGUGGAUUAUUUGGAACAAAGUUUUCUGAUCCAUACAUAUAGGAUAUAUUUCCAUUUAUUCAUUCUUUAAUCCCUUUCAACAAUAUUUUACAGUUUUUAGUAUAUUAGUCUUGUACUUCCUUACUUCCUGUGUCAUGUUUAUUUCUAUGCAUUUUUUUUUUGCUACUGUUAUAAGUGGGAUUGUUUUCAUAGUAUCAUUUGGAGAUUUUUCAUUGCCAGUGUACAGAAAUAAAAUUGAUUUUUGUAUAUUGAUCUUAUAUCUUGCCACAUUGCUGAACUCGUUUAUUAGUUCUAAUAGUUUUUUAGUGGAUUUGCCAAUGCACUUUUAACUUAAACUUUUAAAUUAUUUUGACCCCCACUAUACUUCCAAACAUUAGUGUAUGCUACUCUUAUGCAACAAUUAUCUUCAAUAUUGAGCAAUUAAAUUUUGUCUGCUCCCAGCUCUCAUGGCAGCCCCUUCAAUUAACCCCUUAGCCUAAUGACCACUACACUCUCCAUAGGAAAGUGGAAAGAACAACAUCAACAAGAAAAAUUACUUCUUCCUUAAUUCUUUCUAUUUCUAGAAGUUAGUAAAACCAUUCGGUAUAGUAAAAGUAAACAUGCUAAGCUACUAAAACUCUUCUGCCUAGCAUUACUUUGCUAAAAUGAAGUCAAGCAAAACGUAACCAAAAGUGGAUUUUGACAUUUCAUAUUUUGUUGAAUACUGCUAGGGUGCUGGCAAUCACUGUCUCUUACAUACAAAUUAACAGCCUACCAUCUGUCAAGUGUUGGGAUAAUCACAGGGUUUAGUGCACAAUAUGGUUAUUAGAAUAUGACCUGACAAAAAGGAAAAGAACACAACCUAAUUUGGACUAUAAAAUCUAUGAUCUCACUUGCAAAUGACAGUUUGACAAGCUAUUAUUCUGCAUUUUGGCUUCUACAGUAAAAGCAGUUUUAUGCAUACGUAAUUCUAUUAGUUAUACAGGCAACAGCCUGUGGAAGAUUGCUUUAAACUAUAAAAUCAAUUUGGUCAUACAGUAUUUUUUAACUAAUUCUUAGACAAAUAUUUGCACCACGAGUAAGUGGGAAUGUAAUGAUCUGAGCCUUCACAUUUCCAAGUAAAGCACCAAUCAUUUGGCAAAAAUGUCUUUGUGAUAUUGCUGCCAGCGAUUCCACAGAAUUCUUCAGGGCAUAUGCAAAGAAAGGGUUGUAGGAACUUAUUAAAACCAUUCACGUGAACAUACAUCAAAGUCAAAAAGUUGACAGUUUUGAAAAGUGUAAUAUAUGAAACACUUUGGCAUAGAAUUUACUUCAUCCCCAACAGUGACAUCUGCUAAUGAGCAUCAUUAAUAUUGCCUACUUUUAUUUAUCCUAAUGCCUCAUGGGUGCUAUCUUUAUGUACAUUCCUCUGUAACACCUUUUGUUUUCAUCCAGGGGGAAAAAAUCCAUACUGACAGCUGCCUCUAAUAAAGAUGAUUCCAACAAAACUCUUCUCUUCUGGUUACAGAGAGAAUAUAGAGUGCCAAGUUCUUUUUAUGGUUGUUUUCUGCCUCUCAAAACAGUGCAUAAAUGUGUAGUGUUCCUGAAGGUUAUUUAAGGGUACACCCAUUGUGUCUAAAACACAUGCUUAAGAGAGAAAUGCAUUAAUUAAGUCUCAAGGCAAAAUGUUCUGUUGAGGUGACAAAACAAAACAGAUUUUUUAAUAUUAGCAAUUAUAUUACCUGGGGAGCUUAAGUGAGAUAAUAACUAUAUAAUACAUUAAGCAACUCACAGUGCAAAUUAUGUUGCUUUGUUUUAAACUGCACAUCUUUCCCAUUAUUUUCACACUUGUUUCCUUUCACGGUAGAGAAAAAUGAUGUAUUUUUCUGUCAUGUUGGCUCAAUAUAAGGUGAGUCAGGGUGCCAAGGCUCUUCCACAAAGGAUCUUGGGAUCCAAUUUUAAUAUGCUGAAAUAUGAAUUUUAAGAACAGUGUGUGAUGAAUUGUAAGGCUGCACAAUACCCCCAAAUUUCGUAACACCGAGUCCUUCAUGGCUAUUCUCUGAAGACUAGAAAAAAUUGAUUAAAAUUUGAAGAACUUUAAAUAUAUAAAAGCAUAUAAAAUAUUAUUUACAUCCAUGAGUUUAGAAUGAUUCAUCUAUGGCAGCAACCCUGCUUACAAGUACAAUAUAAGAUCAGUGAACAGAAAAACAUAAACAAAAAGAUACGGAGAAUCAGGGAAAUUUAUUAUUCAUUUACAGAAGAGCCAGUGCUUUUUUUCCCUUUAGAAAAGAAAAAAUUAAAAAAUCUCAGGUUCAGGGCAGCUGGGUGACUCAGUGGUUGAGCAUUUGCCUUCAGCUCAAGGCAUGAUCCCAGGGUCCCAGAAUCGGGUUCUGCAUCAGGCUCCCCACAGAGAGCCUGCGUCCCCCUCUGCCUAUGUCUCUUCCUAUGUCUCUCCUGAAUAAAUAAAAUAUUUAAAAUAAUAAUAAACAAAAUAAAAUAAUAAAGUAAAAUUAAUAAAAUAGAAAAUCCCAGGUUCUUUCUAGCUACCUUUGCUCUUAUCACUUAGUAUAUUUAUGAAACUUUUUUUUUUUAAUGUGAAGGCUAUCUGUCAUGGAUGUGACUUCAUAAAUGAACAAAAAGUGCCCUCUGGAAAUCCUUUUCUCUCAGAAAGAAUUAUUCCCAAAUUUGGAAGUCCAGUUAAAUUCAAGCAUUAAAUAUGUCAAAAAGAGAGAAAGAGGGGAAAAGAGGGAUAGAGGGAAGAAAAGGGGCAGUGUGUGGGGGAAAUCAAUGCCUGGUCAAAAGACAGGAAAAAAUUAACCAAAUUAUUUAUGUGAUGAGACUAUGAAUAAUUUAAUGUCUUUGGACUUUUAUUCACUUUUCUAAACAAACACACAUCACUUUUUAAUGAAAAAGCAACUUUAUAUGUAUUUUUCUUCUCUGUUAGAGGAAUGAUUUACAUACAAUAGAAUAUGCAAAUCUUAAGUCUACAGCUCCUUGACAUCUUCAUAUGUAUAAGCUCAAGGAUCCUCCACCAAAAACAAGAUAUAAAUUUAUUUCCAGAAAGUUCCCUUGUGAUCUUUUCCAGGCAAUAGCUUUCUAUCCUUCCAUGUUUCUAUCUUCUAUCACCAUUGAUUCAUUAAGUCUGGUUCCUGAGUUUUAUAUAAGUAGAAUCACACAGUGUAGACUCUUCUGAAGUUUGUGGCUUCUUUUGUCAACAUAAUGUUUUUGAGAUGCACUCAUACUGUUGUAUAUAUCAGUUGUUACCCUUUAUUGCUGAGUAGUAACCCAUUGUAUGACUACACACCACAAUUGUUUACUUGUUCACCCACUGAGAGACAUUGGAUUUUCUCACAUCUUGGGCUAUUAUGAUAAGCUGCUAUGAACAUCCUUGUGCAAGUCUUUUUUGUAGGCAUAUAUACUAUUUUCUCUCAGAUUAAAUCUUACAAAAGAAAUAUAUGACAUAAAAUUUUUAAUUUUAAAGUGAGAUCUAGUAUUUUUUUAUGGCCAUUGUAUUUUAAACUAAAAGAAAAUACUUAAAAAUCAGAACUUCACAGUUUCAAUCUAAGAGAAAGGGAACGUACAAAACUCAAAGCAUAAAUUUGUAACAAUUUUAUGCUCCCAGAUGCAGAGUUCAAACCAAGAUAAAAGAAUUAUAAACCUUGCUGGGACCCUAGAAAAAUACUUAUUGCUCCUCCUCCUGAAACUUCGUUGCUUCCAAUGGAAAGAUUUCCAAAGGGAUGAAAUUUGCCAUAGGAACAUGAUUUCAAUUUUUAGUUUUAACAAUUAAAACUUCUCUCUAGCUGAAAGAAUAAUGGAGAAAGAAGUAUAAUUAUAAAGUUAAAAGUAAACCUAUCAAAUAAUCAAGAGGCCAAUAUGUCAGAGCUGAAAGGUCAUCACCAUUCAGGGAAAAAAGUUAGGGAACUGAGAAACCACUGAAAUGGGACCAGUGGAUGUGGAGUCAUAGAUGACAUGUCCAUGGUAUCUAGCCUAUGCUAGGGAAAAGAAGGGUUUUCUCUAGGGAUGAUGACAAAUACAAUCUUGUCAUCAUGUUGCUAAGAAUCACAGAUAGGAUGGCUAUAAAUUAUCCUCCAGACUGAAAAACUGAGACUAAAAGGGGUGCUAAAAAUAAAUAUUAUUUAAUUUUGUAAAAAGAUUUUAUGAUAUUUAUUUAUUUACUUAUUUAUUUAUUUAUUUUAGAGACAGAGAGAUUGCAAGCAGGGCGAGACACAGAGGGAGAAGGAGAGAAAGAAUACCAAGCAAACUCUGCGCUGGUCAUAGAGCCCAUGUGAGGUUCAAUCUCACAACCCUGAGAUCACGACCUGAGUCAAAACCAAGAGUCAGAGGCCUAACCAAAUGAGCCACCCAGGCACCCCAAUAUUACUUAAAUUUUAAAAUAUUUACUUGCUCAUUUACAAGUUGGAUUUUAUUAUAGUGGAAGACAUUUAAAAAAUAGUCCUAUUCCAAAAUAGUUUCCAAAAAUAAAAUUAUUUUUAUUUAAAAUAUGGACGUGUGUUUUUGUGUGUUUGCGUGUGUGUGUGUGUGUGUGUGUGUGUGUCGUAGGGGAGGAAAAAUCCUCCUUUCUUCCUCCACCUUCUUUGGGUGUCUAAGAUAGAUUGACAAGAGAAAAUAAAACUUCAAUAAAAUAUAAACUUCAGUGACUUUUUACAUGUUUAUGAGAGCCUUUACAAGAGAAUAAAGACCCAAAGAAGUUACCAGAGAGGAAACUUUUAUCUUUUAGAUGAAGAAACAAUAAAUAUGUGAAGAAUUGAUAUGACAAAAGGGUUUGGCCUAUAGGUCGUAAAUCGUGAAGAAGUAACUAGGAAAAUACGGGUUCUGUCUUAACAAGGUUUGUUAAUAUAGCCUUCUUGGCCCUAAGUUCCCUAUAGAUAAUCAUAAGGAUCCCUGUACCCAUGUUGUACAGAACAGAUACCUUUUAUAGCAGAGAUGAUCUACUACUUUCAGGACUAAAGAGGGUCAGAGUAUCCCCCUUGCACUGGCAAUUUAUUAAAGUAUCUUUAAUUCAAAAUAAUCAAUAUGCCAAAGUGACAUAUUUUGGGGUGAUGAUCUGAACCCCCGCUAUCUGCAUAUUCAGGAUAAAUGCUAACCUAGACAAGAUGCAGAGGCAACUGAUAUAAACUGAGACUCUCCCAAGUAAACUAAGACUCCAGUCCUAGCCAAGUGGGUACUCUUUAUCUAGUGAGGUGUCACCUCCAACCCUCUCCAAUGGACUGAAAAAGGUAACUAAAUGGAACCUAAGAAGCUAAGGUCUUUUUGUGCAUUCAGUAAAUGAUUUGUGAAAGUCUUUGGUGUGUUUGCCAUUGCCCCAGACAUAGGGAAUACAAUGGUAAAUGGUUCAACCAUCUCUGGACUUAUGGGACCUUCAAUUUGCCAGAGAACAAGAGGCAAGGAUCAAAUUAUUAGAAGUGUGCUGUAAAGAGGUAAAAUGCAGAGCUCUCUGAAAGCUUUUACAUUGGUAGUUCUCAUUGGGGUGGAUAUCGUCCUCUAAGGUGAUUUUUUUGGAAUUGUGAGGGGCUAUCUCACCAAUGGGGAGUGUGACUCUCUGAAGGUCUCCAGAGAUGCUAGAUGUACAGGAUAGGCCCACACAAUGAAAAAUGGUUUCCUGUGCCUCAUGACUUUCACAUGUCCCACCAGACAUUCACACAGGUAGAAGAAAAACAAUUUAUGGUUAUCUGCUUUAUAUAUUUUUUGCACGUUUUUAAUUUUCAUUGAAUUUUUCAGGCAUGAAACUGACAUGCAUACCAAAGGAAGACUGUACUUUUUUGUUCAGCCCUUUACCAAUUGUUCACUAUUUCAGAAAAAUCACAACAUUGACAGCAGCAGGGCUUAUGAGACUCAGUCUACCAAUAUAAAACACAAUGGCAUUAGUCUGCAUUGGUAUCUGUCCCAUGCAAAUAUGUAAGAGAAAAAUAGGCUAAGCAGCAAAUAGUAUUAAGUUGGCCAUGACCCAUGACACCUGGGGAUAUUCCAAAAUGUAUUCAUUGAGAGCAUCUUUAAAUAUUUCAUUUUAUUGGCAUAAUAUAUACCUUUUAAAAAUUCUGCAGCACGGUGAUAAAAAAAAAUCUGUAUUGUAAAAAUUACUGAUUAAAAUUAUUUACUUACUUUGGAUUUGCCUCUUGUUUCUCCGUCUUACACUGAAACUGUCCCUAGAGGUCUCCCACACAACUUCUUUAUGACUUUUUAUAUUACUGUUUCUUUUUCCAAUCCAUUUCCUAUUCCCUGUUGCCUACUGACAGGCUUUUUAAGAACUAGAGACCAAAUAUAUGCCACAAGCUGAGGAAGGAUUUCAAUAUUAGAGGUAUUCUUGUGAUUCUUCGAUACUCCUUGGUCUCUCAUCAUAACAGAAUUAUUUUGCAACUUGCCGUACAAAUAAGUCCAACUAAUUUCCAGGAAGGCCAGACUUGCUUAUGGUCUCUACCUCAAAGCUGUGUAAUUAAUCUCAGCAUGUGAGCCCUACUUCAACUACAUUUAUUUCCCUCUUUUUCUCAUCACAUGUCAUUCUUUCUCCCAAAACUAGUUUUUAUUCUAGUGUUCCCAUACCUCUCGUCUUCCAUUUCUGCACUUCUUCCACAGAAUAGCUUCUAAAUCUUCUCUUAGAUCCAAUUUUAUUCAGAUCAAGUAGAUAAAGCAAUCAACUGAUUCACUGUCUUCAAGUGGAGCUGUGCUUUGCCAUUUACACCAAAAUAUUUUGUUUAUUGUAACUCACUUCCCUUUUCUCUUUCCUUUACCUUACUAGUUAAAGCAUUAUACCAAUUUUUAAAAGUAUGUGGGGAGUGGGUAUAGGCAAUAUUAUCAAAUGUAUUUCAU
rnacentral:lncRNA from 1 species